rnacentral:rRNA from 1 species
GAAGCUUGCUUCCUAUGAAAUCGAGUGGCAAACGGGUGAGUAACGCGUAAACAACCUGCCCUUCGGAUGGGGAUAACAGCCGGAAACGGCUGCUAAUACCGAAUACGAUCUUUUCGUCGCAUGACGGAAAGAAGAAAGGAUGGCCUCUAUACAAAGCUAUCGCCGAAGGAGGGGUUUGCGUCUGAUUAGCUGGUUGGAGGGGUAACGGCCCAACAAGGCGAUGAUCAGUAGCCGGUCUGAGAGGAUGAACGGCCACAUUGGGACUGAGACACGGCCCAGACUCCUACGGGAGGCAGCAGUGGGGAAUAUUCCGCAAUGGACGAAAGUCUGACGGAGCAACGCCGCGUGAGUGAAGAAGGUCUUCGGAUUGUAAAGCUCUGUUAUACGGGACGAAAAAGACGGAUGCCAACAGUAUCCGUCCGUGACGGUACCGUAAGAGAAAGCCACGGCUAACUACGUGCCAGCAGCCGCGGUAAUACGUAGGUGGCAAGCGUUGUCCGGAAUUAUUGGGCGUAAAGGGCGCGCAGGCGGUUCGGUAAGUCUGUCUUAAAAGUGCGGGGCUUAACCCCGUGAGGGGACGGAAACUGUCGAACUUGAGUGUCGGAGAGGAAAGCGGAAUUCCUAGUGUAGCGGUGAAAUGCGUAGAUAUUAAGAGGAACACCGGUGGCGAAAGCGGCUUUCUGGACGAC